UUAUGGCUCAGAGGCAGAGCAUUCGCCUUGCAUGCGCAAGGCCCUGGGUUUGAUACUCAGCACCACAUAAA
rnacentral:tRNA from 1 species